rnacentral:rRNA from 1 species
GUAGGUGGCAAGCGUUGUCCGGAAUUAUUGGGCGUAAAGCGCGCGCAGGCGGGGGGUUUUUAAGUCUGAUGUGAAAGCCCACGGGCUCAACCGUGGAGGGUCAUUGGAAACUGGAGAACUUGAGUACAGAAGAGGAAAGCGGAGUUCCACGUGUAGCGGUGAAAUGCGUAGAGAUGUGGAGGAACACCAGUGGCGAAGGCGGCUUUCUGGUCUGUAACUGACGCUGAGGCGCGAAAGCGUGGGGAGCAAACAGGAUUAGAUACCCUGGUAGUCCACGCCGUAAACGAUGAGUGCUAAGUGUUAGGGGGUUUCCCGCCCCUUAGUGCUGCAGCUAACGCAUUAAGCACUCCGCCUGGGGAGUACGGCCGCAAGGCUG